AACGAACGCUGGCGGCAGGCUUAACACAUGCAAGUCGAACGCUCGUAGCAAUACGGGAGUGGCGGACGGGUGAGUAACGCGUGGGAACGUGCCCUGAGGUACGGAAUAACUGAGGGAAACUUCAGCUAAUACCGUAUGAGCCCCGAGAGGGGAAGAUUUAUCGCCUUGGGAGCGGCCCGCGUCGGAUUAGCUAGUUGGUGGGGUAACGGCCUACCAAGGCUUCGAUCCGUAGCUGGUCUGAGAGGACGAUCAGCCACACUGGGACUGAGACACGGCCCAGACUCCCACGGGAGGCAGCAGUGGGGAAUCUUGCGCAAUGGGGGCAACCCUGACGCAGCCAUGCCGCGUGAACGAUGUAGGCCUUAGGGUUGUAAAGUUCUUUUACCCGUGACGAUGAUGACGGUAACGGGGGAAUAAGCUCCGGCUAACUUCGUGCCAGCAGCCGCGGUAAU
rnacentral:rRNA from 1 species